GAAAUGCGAUAAGUAAUGUGAAUUGCAGAAUUCAGUGAAUCACCGAAUCUUUGAACGCACCUUGCGCUCCUUGGUAUUCCUUGGAGCAUGCCUGUUUGAGUAUCAUGAAAUCUUCAAAGUAAAUCUUUUGUUAACUCAAUUGGUUUCUACUUUGGUAUUGGAGGUCUUUGCAGCUUCACACCUGCUCCUCUUUGUUCAUUAGCUGGAUCUCAGUGUUAUGCUUGGUUCCACUCGGCGUGAUAAGUUAUCUAUCGCUGAGGACACUGUAAAAGGUGGCCAAGGUAAAUGCAGAUGAACCGCUUCUAAUAGUCCAUUGACUUGGACAAUACUUUUAUGAUCUGAUCUCAAAUCAGGUAGGACUACCCGCUGAACUUAAGA
rnacentral:misc_RNA from 1 species